CACGUAGGGCGCAAGCGUUGUCCGGAAUUAUUGGGCGUAAAGAGCUCGUAGGCGGUCUGUUGCGUCCGCUGUGAGAACUCGGGGCUUAACCCCGAGCCUGCAGUGGAUACGGGCAGACUAGAGGUAGGUAGGGGAGAAUGGAAUUCCCGGUGUAGCGGUGAAAUGCGCAGAUAUCGGAAGGAACACCUGUGGCGAAAGCGGCUCACUGGACCAUUACUGACGCUGAGGCACGAAAGCUAGGGGAGCAAACAGG
rnacentral:rRNA from 1 species